rnacentral:tRNA from 1 species
GCUUCCAUAGCUCAGUAGGUAGAGCACUACCAUGGUAAGGUAGGGGUCAGCGGUUCAAAUCCGCUUGGAAGCUCCA